CCUACGGGGGGCAGCAGUCGAGAAUCUUUCGCAAUGGGCGAAAGCCUGACGAAGCGACGCCGUGUGAGCGAAGAAGGCCUUCGGGUUGUAAAGCUCUUUCGCUAGGGAACAAGGGAAGCAGGAUAAUACCCUGCUGACUUGAGGGUACUUGGUAAAGAAGCACCGGCUAACUCCGUGCCAGCAGCUGCGGUAAUACGGAGGGUGCAAGCAUUGAUCGGAGUUACUGGGCGUGAAGGAGGCGUAGAGAUGUGAAAUUCCGGGGCUCAACCCCGGAGCUGCAUUUGAAACUUCUUGGCUAGAGGAUGGUUAGGGAAAACGGAAUUCCACGUGUAGCGGUGAAAUGCGUAGAUAUGUGGAAGAACACCGGUGGUGAAGACGGUUUUCUGGGCCAAACCUGACGCUGAGGCGCGAAAGCGAGGGGAGCAAACAGGAUUAGAUACCCUGGUAGUC
rnacentral:rRNA from 1 species